CGCAUCCCUCCGCACCCCUUUCAUCCCAUUGCAUCGACGACGACAACGACGUCAUCAAGAAAACGGAGGAAACCGCCUCCUCCCACCACAUUCUCCUCCUCCUCCUCUCUGCCGGCCCCGGCGGAUCGGUACCGUCUUACGCUGGGGCCGCUCGAGGAAUCCCUCCAUACCUUCCGACCCAAGAACCUCGACGCCAGGGGAGGUUGGCAGUGGCGGCUGCACGGAGUCGAGGCCCGCGGUGCUCGUAGUCGUUGGCGUCCUCGAUGGGGUUCUCCUUCGCUCCGAUCGCGGGGCUACGCUCCGGAGUGCCUGGUUCCCGUCCGAUCCCGACUUCUUGUCGCGGGAAACUUAAUUUAGAGAAGGAUUUAUACAAAAAAUAUCUAGAAGGCUAGUGUGUUAAUAAAUGUCCUAUCAAUUAUAUGCUUAGCCCGUGCAACCAAGGAGACAGCGUUCAAAUCAUCUAUGCUUGAAAAGAGUUCAGUUUGGAGGGUACUCUGAUUCAUUUUAGAUAGAUCUCUCUAUCUCAAGGAUACAUAUAAGCCAAAGAGUCAUUGGAACUCAGAACCCUAGAGCAAUUUCGUACUUUUCCCAUUUAAAUAAAGUUCAGAGUUGUUUGCUAGGCAAUUUAUGGGUUCUAAUAAUUUUGUAUGACAAAGUAUGGGUUUGCCUAUUUUAAUUCGAUCAAGAAAUUGAUUGUCUAAUUUGUUCUUAUUGUUAGCUUGGGAGCUUAAAUAAAUCUCAACAUCAUCAAAGUAAUAUUUCCCAGUGGUAUCGAGAUUAUAAUGAACAGUAAUAUACUUCACUAUGCAUAGCUCAAGUGACCAAAAAAUUUACCGCAAGGAAAAAUGUGGAAUUUGCUUUACUUCCUCUUGUGUGUUAAUACAUGUUGUUUUGCAUUUGCACAAAUACUGAACAAAUAUGUAAAACCUUGUUAGAGGAGAGUGGGAGUGGAACUCAAUGGAAAUAAUCAAGUGGAACUUCACAUUUCAAUAUUUUAUGUGAAAAACUCAAGGUACUUAAAGUACUUUAGCAUUACAUAUGAGGUAAUCUGAACCAAAUAAAUAAGUCUGAGUGUUUCUUUACUUUCUUAUAGUAGUUGCAUUUUAGUAACACCUAUGUUCAUAUAAUAUGGCCGACAUGUCUCACAUUAAAUUGACAAUUUUGACAUAGUCGGUAGAGUUUGAUUUGUAGCUUUCUUGUUUCUUCUAGAAAAUUGAUCCAUUCAAGUGUUUGUUUGGUAUCUCCACAAUACCACAUGUAUUAUGCCUUGGAAUUCUUCUAUAUCUUUUUUGCUUGUUCUUUUUUCUCAUCCUUUUUGUUGGAGGUCUUUGCAUUUUUGAAAGUAGAUAAAGUUGUAACUACUGUAAAUUGCCAAUCUCAAGCUUGAAUGUUAUAGUAGGCCGCUAACAGCCAGUAAAAUUUCAUCAAAAUUCAUUAGUAUGGAUCUAAAUUGUUUUUACUAUAGGAAUGUUAUCUAGAAGUGACACAAGGCAAUUUUACCACAUGGGUGUCUCUAAAUGCAAAAAAAUGGACCAGGAGAUUGGUUGGAAGGUCAUAUUAAUAUCCAGAUAUGAUGCAAAACAGGAAAGGAUUUUCCCAUUGUUUUAUAUUGGUGCAGGUAAAGUAGUUGGUUCAAAACAUAAAAUUCGACUAACAAUAUGGUAUAUAAGAAAAUUUCAGGAAAGGUUAGGAUUGGUAUUAGAUGAUAAUAAGAAAAUUUAACAUAAUAUGUCUAUAAUAGGCUAAUUGGGUUGAAAAAAAAUAUAAGGGGAUUGAUAUUAUUAAAUAUAAAAUUUGAUCUAUUAAUAGUUAAAUAUAUAAUUGGUGUAGGUAUUAUUGUAGAGAAGGAUCUUGAGGAUAAAUGGAUACCAUUGUGGAGGUAAAGAAAGUUGGGGAUAGAAUUAUAGCAUUAAAAUUUGCAUUAGAAUAAGAUAUUUUAAACGUAAAUAAGUACUUAUGCACCUAAGAUUGAACUAUAUGAUUACACCAAACGAAAAUUCUGAGAAAAUUUUAAAUAAAAUAUUUUAAGGGAUACUUUUAAUUUGAAAAUUAAUCAUUGAGGUAUAUUUGAAUGAUCAUAUAGGAAUACCAUGGUGAAUAUAAAUAAGUGGAUGACGCCUAUAGAUAGGAGAGGAACAAAGAGGGGGUGGAUUGAUAUUAGAUUAUGCAUAUCUUAUGAUCUCAUAAUAAUUAAUAUUCACUUCAAGGAGAGAGGAGCAUUUGAUUGCUGACAAGGGUGGAUGUAAUCAGUCAAGUAGACUUUUCUUUUCACGAAAUUGAUAAAAUUACUUGUAACAUGUAUAAAAUUAGAUUUGCUAAAAAAAGAUGGGUGAAUCAAUGUAGAUUGUUGGUUUUAAAUAUUUGUAUUAGAUAAGAAAAGAGAGAAGAAAUAUAGUAGUUUUUAUAGAAUGAGAUGGUGAAAUUUUUAAGCAAACAGUGUAAAGGCUUUUAAAGUAAGAUGUAAAAGAAGUGUUGGAUGGAAAAAUAGGAGGUUUGGCAUCAGGUAGAAUAAUAUUAAUACAAUGUGGACUUCGGUUGGAACUAUGAUGGGGAGAGUAACAAUGGAUUUCCUUGUACAAUGUAAAGGGGUACAAAUACAAUCUCAGAGAGAGUUGAUGGUGAUGUGAGAAAUCUCAAAUGACAAUCACUACUAUAGAUCAUGCCUAUAAAGAUUGAAAAAAAUAUAUAAAUAUAAGAAAUUUUGUGAAUAUUUGUAAUAGCUAGAUAUAACGCUCGGUGGAAAGCUCAAAAUUUUAAUUUUAAAAUAUAAGGCUUAUGGUAGUUUUUUAUGAUAAGCUAGGUUGUUAGGCUAGUCAUACUUUGUGAGUUUUAAAUGCUGGAUGGUUAAAAAACAUGUACCAAAAAAUUGUAUAUUUGAAAUGAGGAUUGCUGAGGUAUUACUUCAAAAAAUAUAUAGAAAAAGAAAUGUUCUAGUACCAGUGAAUAUGUUCAAAGGCAAUCUAUGAUUAUGAUGGUUUGGUGAGAUGAGUCAUUUAGUACUAGUGAUGAUAUAACAACUAGCAAGACAUAUAAGAACAUUUUAAUAGUAAUAAAAAGUAUUAAUACUCUUGAUUGAAUUAGAGAUAUUAUGUUAUGCAAAUCUCACUGAUAGGCAAAAUCCAUGUCUGACUUCAAAUAAUUAGAACAUUACGGCUUGUGGUUGUAGUAAUAUUAUGACAAUUGUUCACAAUGGUUGGAAGAUGCAAGGACAUUUUCUGUUGGACCUGAGGAGUCAGUUUUGUUCUCCUUGAAGGUUAAUUAGAUUUUUUUUUUACUUGAAGGUUGUUGUGUACGCAUCCAUACACAUGAUAGCAAAUAAUUGUUUAAAAAGGUUAACCUACUACUUCCUCCUC